CCGGACUUUGUGGGUCAGACGGUUCUAUAUCAUGUCCUACUGGCUCUGAAAGUCCUGGU
rnacentral:pre_miRNA from 1 species